GCUCAGAUUGAACGCUGGCGGCAUGCCUUACACAUGCAAGUCGAACGGCAGCGCGGGAGCAAUCCUGGCGGCGAGUGGCGAACGGGUGAGUAAUACAUCGGAACGUGCCCAAUCGUGGGGGAUAACGCAGCGAAAGCUGUGCUAAUACCGCAUACGAUCUACGGAUGAAAGCAGGGGACCGCAAGGCCUUGCGCGAAUGGAGCGGCCGAUGGCAGAUUAGGUAGUUGGUGGGGUAAAGGCUCACCAAGCCUUCGAUCUGUAGCUGGUCUGAGAGGACGACCAGCCACACUGGGACUGAGACACGGCCCAGACUCCUACGGGAGGCAGCAGUGGGGAAUUUUGGACAAUGGGCGCAAGCCUGAUCCAGCAAUGCCGCGUGCAGGAUGAAGGCCUUCGGGUUGUAAACUGCUUUUGUACGGAACGAAAAGGCUCUUUCUAAUAAAGAGGGCUCAUGACGGUACCGUAAGAAUAAGCACCGGCUAACUACGUGCCAGCAGCCGCGGUAAUACGUAGGGUGCGAGCGUUAAUCGGAAUUACUGGGCGUAAAGCGUGCGCAGGCGGUGAUGUAAGACAGUUGUGAAAUCCCCGGGCUCAACCUGGGAACUGCAUCUGUGACUGCAUCGCUGGAGUGCGGCAGAGGGGGAUGGAAUUCCGCGUGUAGCAGUGAAAUGCGUAGAUAUGCGGAGGAACACCGAUGGCGAAGGCAAUCCCCUGGGCCUGCACUGACG
rnacentral:rRNA from 1 species